rnacentral:rRNA from 1 species
UGCCAGCAGCCGCGGUAAUACAGAGGGUGCAAACGUUGUUCGGAAUUACUGGGCGUAAAGCGCGUGUAGGCGGCCCGUUAAGUCGACUGUGAAAGCCCAUGGCUCAACCAUGGAAGUGCAGUCGAUACUGGCGGGCUCGAGUCCCGGAGAGGGUGGUGGAAUUCCCAGUGUAGAGGUGAAAUUCGUAGAUAUUGGGAGGAACACCGGUGGCGAAGGCGACCACCUGGACGGGUACUGACGCUGAGACGCGAAAGCGUGGGGAGCAAACAGGAUUAGAUA